UGGCUUAGUGGUUAAGAGCACUGACUGCUCUUUCAGAGGUCCUGGGUUCAAUUCCCAG
rnacentral:tRNA from 1 species